ACCCAAAGACCUUUGUCAGGGUGACGACCGUGGUCUCCGGACCACACCUUAUCUACGUCGUUGUCUGUUACGUCCUUGGAAGAUCAAUGCUACCCGCCUGUGGUCCCGUGUGCCGUUUUGGUGCGCGGUGCUCUUGCCGUUUUGGCUCGAGCCUUGUCCACGCCUGCCGAUAGUUUUUAUUGGCAAUUCAGGGUAGCCACGGAAUCUUGUUGAGUUGGACCUACCCCACCUUAUGGGUUUGUCCGUAGUAUAGAAGCCGACACUU
rnacentral:snoRNA from 1 species